GUGAGGAAUAUUGCGCAAUGGAGGCAACUCUGACGCAGCCAUGCCGCGUGCAGGAAGAAGGCGCUACGCGUUGUAAACUGCUUUUAACCGGGAAGAAACCCCAGGACGUGUCCUGGGUUGACGGUACCGGAGGAAUAAGCACCGGCUAACUUCGUGCCAGCAGCCGCGGUAAUACGAAGGGUGCAAGCGUUAUCCGGAUUCAUUGGGUUUAAAGGGUGCGUAGGCGGAGCGUUAAGUCAGUGGUGAAAUCCUGCAGCUUAACUGUAGACUUGCCAUUGGUACUGGCGCUCUUGAGUGCGCUUGAAGUGGGCGGAAUGUGCCGUGUAGCGGUGAAAUGCUUAGAUAUGGCACAGAACACCAAUUGCGAAGGCAGCUCACUAAGGCGAUACUGACGCUGAGGCACGAAAGCGUGGGGAUCGAACAGGAUUAGAUACCCGAGUAGUCC
rnacentral:rRNA from 1 species